rnacentral:rRNA from 1 species
GACGAACGCUGGCGGCGUGCCUAAUACAUGCAAGUAGAACGCACAGUUUAUACCGUAGCUUGCUACACCAUAAACUGUGAGUUGCGAACGGGUGAGUAACGCGUAGGUAACCUGCCUGGUAGCGGGGGAUAACUAUUGGAAACGAUAGCUAAUACCGCAUAAUAUUGAUUAUUGCAUGAUAAUUGAUUGAAAGAUGCUAUUGCAUCACUACCAGAUGGACCUGCGUUGUAUUAGCUAGUAGGUGAGGUAACGGCUCACCUAGGCGACGAUACAUAGCCGACCUGAGAGGGUGAUCGGCCACACUGGGACUGAGACACGGCCCAGACUCCUACGGGAGGCAGCAGUAGGGAAUCUUCGGCAAUGGACGAAAGUCUGACCGAGCAACGCCGCGUGAGUGAAGAAGGUUUUCGGAUCGUAAAGCUCUGUCGUAAGAGAAGAACGGGUGUGAGAGUGGAAAGUUCACACUGUGACGGUAUCUUACCAGAAAGGGACGGCUAACUACGUG